rnacentral:tmRNA from 1 species
CGGGUUCGACGUCGGACACUGCGACGGGAGAAGCGGGCCGAGAAUGUAGAGUCAUCUCGUUAAUGUCCUCUGCAAAACAAUAGGUGCUAAGUCUAAUAACCGCACCGAUUUCGCCCUCGCUGCCUGAUUAGGCCGAGCUGCGAAUCCGUCAGUCUAGAGUUGCUUCCACUCUAGGUCCUGGCGUCGCUUAGGGAGCCACUGCUUCAGAUAUUUGUUGAGGGUAUCUGAGGGACUUUUACUCAACUCCGUUCGUUGGUCCACAUGUUC